rnacentral:rRNA from 1 species
GUCGAGCGGUAAGGCCCUUCGGGGUACACGAGCGGCGAACGGGUGAGUAACACGUGGGUGAUCUGCCCUGCACUUCGGGAUAAGCCUGGGAAACUGGGUCUAAUACCGGAUAUGACCUUCGGCUGCAUGGCUGAGGGUGGAAAGGUUUACUGGUGCAGGAUGGGCCCGCGGCCUAUCAGCUUGUUGGUGGGGUAAUGGCCUACCAAGGCGACGACGGGUAGCCGACCUGAGAGGGUGACCGGCCACACUGGGACUGAGACACGGCCCAGACUCCUACGGGAGGCAGCAGUGGGGAAUAUUGCACAAUGGGCGAAAGCCUGAUGCAGCGACGCCGCGUGAGGGAUGACGGCCUUCGGGUUGUAAACCUCUUUCAGCAGGGACGAAGCGAAAGUGACGGUACCUGCAGAAGAAGCACCGGCCAACUACGUGCCAGCAGCCGCGGUAAUACGUAGGGUGCAAGCGUUGUCCGGAAUUACUGGGCGUAAAGAGCUCGUAUGCGGUUUGUCGCGUCGUCUGUGAAAACUCGAGGCUCAACCUCGA